rnacentral:tRNA from 1 species
GCGCGGUUGGCGCAGUGGUCAAGCGCAUCACUCGAUUUGUGGGUUGAAAUCCCCGGAGAACCUCUGUGCAAAGACCGACUCUGGGGACAAAAGUUCAAAAGGGUAAAAGUCACUACUGUGUGAAGACCCGGGUUCGAAUCCCGGACCGCGCA